UCUCCGUAGGUGAACCAGCGGAAGGAUCAUUACCGAAUUGUCAAACGGGAUGUUGCUGGUCAUCAAACGGGGACAUGUGCAAGCUCUGUGUACACACCCACUCACACCUGUGCACCCUCCGUAGUGAUAUGGUAUGGGGGAUCCUGCGUUCAUGGCGCGGUUAAACGUCAUUAAAUACAAUCUGUAAUAAAGUCUAAUGGAAGGUAUGCCGCGUCGAAAGAAACACAAUAAAACGUUGAGCAAAGGAUGUCAUGGCUCUCGCAUAGAUGAAGAACGGAG
rnacentral:misc_RNA from 1 species